rnacentral:hammerhead_ribozyme from 1 species
AUCCAGAUAACGAGUUCCAAACAGAACGAAAUGCGCAUCUUGGUGGAU